rnacentral:rRNA from 1 species
UACAGAGGGGGCAAGCGUUGUUCGGAAUUACUGGGCGUAAAGGGCGCGUAGGCGGCCUUCUAAGUCAUGCGUGAAAUCCCCGGGCUCAACCCGGGAACUGCGCCUGAUACUGGAAGGCUUGAAUCCGGGAGAGGGAUGCGGAAUUCCAGGUGUAGCGGUGAAAUGCGUAGAUAUCUGGAGGAACACCGGUGGCGAAGGCGGCAUCCUGGACCGGCAUUGACGCUGAGGCGCGAAAGCCAGGGGAGCAAACGGG